AGUGGGGAAUAUUGCACAAUGGGGGGAACCCUGAUGCAGCGACGCCGCGUGAAGGAUGAAGUAUCUCGGUAUGUAAACUUCUAUCAGCAGGGAAGAUGAUGACGGUACCUGACUAAGAAGCCCCGGCUAACUACGUGCCAGCAGCCGCGGUA
rnacentral:rRNA from 1 species